rnacentral:rRNA from 1 species
UACGUAGGGUGCAAGCGUUAAUCGGAAUUACUGGGCGUAAAGCGUGCGCAGGCGGUUAUGCAGGACAGAUGUGAAAUCCCCGGGCUUAACCUGGGAACCGCAUUUGUGGCUGCAUAGCUGGAGUACGGCAGAGGGGGAUGGAAUUCCGCGUGUAGCAGUGAAAUGCGUAGAUAUGCGGAGGAACACCGAUGGCGAAGGCAAUCCCCUGGGCCUGCACUGACGCUCAUGCACGAAAGCGUGGGGAGCAAACAGG